rnacentral:rRNA from 1 species
UGGGGAAUAUUGGACAAUGGGCGCAAGCCUGAUCCAGCCAUGCCGCGUGAGUGAUGAAGGCCCUAGGGUUGUAAAGCUCUUUCACCGGUGAAGAUAAUGACGGUAACCGGAGAAGAAGCCCCGGCUAACUUCGUGCCAGCAGCCGCGGUAAUACGAAGGGGGCUAGCGUUGUUCGGAUUUACUGGGCGUAAAGCGCACGUAGGCGGACUAUUAAGUCAGGGGUGAAAUCCCGGGGCUCAACCCCGGAACUGCCUUAGAUACUGGUAGUCUUGAGUUCGAGAGAGGUGAGUGGAAUUCCGAGUGUAGAGGUGAAAUUCGUAGAUAUUCGGAGGAACACCAGUGGCGAAGGCGGCUCACUGGCUCGAUACUGACGCUGAGGUGCGAAAGCGUGGGGAGCAAACAGG